rnacentral:rRNA from 1 species
GACGAACGCUGGCGGCGUGCUUAACACAUGCAAGUCGAGCGGUAAGGCCCUUUCGGGGGUACACGAGCGGCGAACGGGUGAGUAACACGUGGGUGACCUGCCCUCAGCUCUGGGAUAAGCCUGGGAAACUGGGUCUAAUACCGGAUAUGACUCCAUGACGCAUGUUGUGGGGUGGAAAGCCUUGUGCGGCUGAGGAUGGGCCCGCGGCCUAUCAGCUUGUUGGUGGGGUGAUGGCCUACCAAGGCGACGACGGGUAGCCGGCCUGAGAGGGCGACCGGCCACACUGGGACUGAGACACGGCCCAGACUCCUACGGGAGGCAGCAGUGGGGAAUCUUGCGCAAUGGGCGAAAGCCUGACGCAGCGACGCCGCGUGAGGGAUGACGGCCUGGUGU